AAUCAUCUACGAAGGAAGGCAAGGAAAACUCCAUUUAGCAAGGUCCAUUGACAUACAAGCAUGUACACCAUUUCAAGAUAUUACAAAUAUUGUUGUUUCCCGAAGAUUAUCGGAGGAGUAACAUGGCAUCGGUGUACAAUAUGGAUGAUGCAUGUGUUGGAAUUGGCACUGCUAUCUCCACUGUACUGAAGGAGAUCAAGCCCAUUUCCAUCAGCAUCAACUGGAACUUUCCGUCGACUUGCAUCCUUCCCCUUUUUUUUCUCUCCCUGAGGUCACAUGACCAUUCUUCAUACACCGCUUCACUAGGACUAGCGCAGAACUACAGAUGAUGAAAAUUCCAAAAGAAGUUGCCUCUUGUUUGAACACCCCAAAGCAUGGGCUGGCGAGAUUAAGGUUGGGCAAAGAGAGCUUCAGGAGGACCGAGUAUGACACCUCACUUGUCAAUCGCUUAUUCUUCAAGCAAGGAUGGAAGAAGUUUCUCACGAGACAUGACAUGAGGUUGGCACUACGGUACUAAUUACAUUUAAGACCGUCGCCAAAAAUGAGUUGGAGAUUACAGUCAUCCUUUCAUGUCCUUUGAGAAGUUGAAGAUCAUGUUGGACGAGUUUCGGGCUUUCAUGAGUUAUUUAAUUAUUUCUCUGUGUCUUUUUUUUAAUCAUGGAGGAGAACUACGUGUGAACUUUAUAGAUACAAGAAGAAAAG